ACUGAACGCUGGCGGCAUGCUUUACACAUGCAAGUCGAACGGUAACAGGCCGCAAGGUGCUGACGAGUGGCGAACGGGUGAGUAAUGCAUCGGAACGUGCCCAGUCGUGGGGGAUAACUGCUCGAAAGAGCAGCUAAUACCGCAUACGAUCUAUGGUUGAAAGCGGGGGACCGUAAGGCCUCGCGCGAUUGGAGCGGCCGAUGUCAGAUUAGGUAGUUGGUGGGGUAAAGGCUCACCAAGCCAACGAUCUGUAGCUGGUCUGAGAGGACGACCAGCCACACUGGGACGGAGACAGGGCCCAGACUCCCGCGGGAGGCAGCAGUGGGGAAUUUUGGACAAUGGGGGCAACCCUGAUCCAGCAAUGCCGCGUGCAGGAAGAAGGCCUUCGGGUUGUAAACUGCUUUUGUACGGAACGAAACGGUCUGGGUUAAUACCCUGGGCUAAUGACGGUACCGUAAGAAUAAGCACCGGCUAACUACGUGCCAGCAGCCGCCGUAACAC
rnacentral:rRNA from 1 species